rnacentral:rRNA from 1 species
AACGAACGCUGGCGGCAUGCCUAACACAUGCAAGUCGAACGAGACCUUCGGGUCUAGUGGCGCACGGGUGCGUAACGCGUGGGAACCUGCCCUUAGGUUCGGAAUAACUCCCCGAAAGGGGUGCUAAUACCGGAUAAUGUCUUCGGACCAAAGAUUUAUCGCCGUUGGAUGGGCCCGCGUUGGAUUAGCUAGUUGGUAGGGUAAAAGCCUACCAAGGCGACGAUCCAUAGCUGGUCUGAGAGGAUGAUCAGCCACACUGGGACUGAGACACGGCCCAGACUCCUACGGGAGGCAGCAGUGGGGAAUAUUGGACAAUGGGCGAAAGCCUGAUCCAGCAAUGCCGCGUGAGUGAUGAAGGCCUUAGGGUUGUAAAGCUCUUUUACCCGGGAUGAUAAUGACAGUACCGUGAGAAUAAGCUCCGGCUAACUCCGUG